AAACCAACUGGGAUUGCCUUAGUAACGGCGAGUGAAGCGGCAAAAGCUCAAAUUUGAAAUCUGGUACCUUUGGUGCCCGAGUUGUAAUUUGUAGAGUACCACUUUGGGACUAUACUUUGCCUAUGUUCCUUGGAACAGGACGUCAUGGAGGGUGAGAAUCCCGUAUGGCGAGGGUGUUAGUUCUUUGUAAAGGGUGCUCGAAGAGUCGAGUUGUUUGGGAAUGCAGCUCUAAGUGGGUGGUAAAUUCCAUCUAAAGCUAAAUACAGGCGAGAGACCGAUAGCGAACAAGUACAGUGAUGGAAAGAUGAAAAGAACUUUGAAAAGAGAGUGAAAAAGUACGUGAAAUUGUUGAAAGGGAAGGGCAUUUGAUCAGACAUGGUGUUUUGCGCCCCUCGCUCCUUGUGGGUGGGGGACUCUCGCAGCUCACUGGGCCAGCAUCAGUUUUUGCGGCAGGACAAAACCUUGGGAAUGUAGCUGUGCGCCUCGGUGUACAGUGUUAUAGCUCUUGGGAAUACUGCCAGCGGGGACUGAGGACUGCGAUACUUGUUAUCUAGGAUGCUGGCAUAAUGGUUAUAUGCCGC
rnacentral:rRNA from 1 species